UGAUGUAUAAAGUCUAUACGAAUGUCGACAGAAUAGAGAUGAACAGGAAGAAAGUGAGAGAAUAUCAGCUCCAAUUAAUCUAUGAGAAUUCAAGAAUACAGAUUACAGAAACGAGCUUAAUGGCAUUGAUAAGUGAUGAAUACCCUGAAAAAAGACACAUAACUCCAUCACUACCCUUACUCAGUAGGAACGAACCUUUCAACUGAAAAGAUGUGAAUCCUUUGUUGACCAUUUUAUGAGCUGUGAGCAGUAAGUACAAGAAGCGGAGGGUUACUCUUUUCGUCGAAAUCUUUCAAAAAACUGCUCAAUCAAUAUCCAAAAAAUUUUAACAUUAUUAGGCUUAUUUUAAUACUUCUCAUACAAAGUUACAACAAAGUCUUCAUGUUAUGAAACCUGGGUUUGGACAGGAUAAUAUUACCCGCCUAAAAUAUUUCCAUCGCGUUACAUAAUACUCAAUAAAUGUAAUAGAUUUGUAGUGUUGUAAUUAGUUUUGCUGCUGAAGUGUAUCCAGCCCUAAUAUAUAACAACCUUAGAAAAGCAAACUUACUUACUUUCGUUUUUAA